rnacentral:lncRNA from 1 species
UAAUCCUAGGGACUCUUCUAGACUCUUCUUUAAAACAAAAAUAAAUAAAAAGACUCGAAGGACCUAAGAGCAAAUACACAAAAUAUAAACCUAGACUCUAGGACCUAGAUAUAUAGACCUAACGCCUAAUAAGCUUGAAAAAAAAGAGAAGAGGAGGAGCGGCGAUUCCAAAAAAGGAAAAGAAGAACACCAUCCAUUUCAGUAGCUAAAGUUUUUUAGCCAUUUUGAUUUUCUCGUAAACAAGACCAAAAGGAGACCCAAAAAUCGAGAUGGCCAUUCUUGAAUUCUCAAAACACACACACGACAAAGAAUAUAAGCUUUUCUGAAGAACAAAAAUCGAGAUGGCCAUUCUUCAAUUUUGUACAUAGACACUAUUCUGAUCUACACUGAAAUCUGAGGCAUCCGUCGAGGUCGCCGGUGAGGUAUUUAUAAUUUUUACCCCUUUGAUCUUCCUAUGAUUUUUGAGUAUCAGUAAUUGUAUUGUUGAAGAACUGAAGUCGUAUUUGGACCGUUGGAACUGUCUGCCUGCUUGUUCUGUGUAUAAAUGGAUCUAUAUUUUGUUGAGAUACAUGACAAUUGUGUGUUCCACUUGCUCUACUGUUAUGCGAUUGAUCACUUUUCUAAUGUUUGAGAAUUGGCUAAUCGUGUGACUCUUACGAAAGGUUGGUUGUUGCUUCUUGGCAGUGAUUCGUUGGUUUGAUAAAAUAAUUGCGCUUUGAACUUGUGAUGUUGCAGUAAUCUGCUUUUGAGUGUUAAUCAUUAAUUUUCCUCAAAGUUCUGAAGCUAACGAAGUAAAUUUUUGUUACUGAUUUGUUGGUUUUUUUAGUUAUUGGAAUGGAAGUCAAUAAAGUUGAAUACUUUUCCCAAUCCAUUAAUUGUUCAACCGUUUGAGGAAUAAAGAUAACUUUUUUUUUAAUUACUUAGUUGUUGAUUUUCAGUUGUUGGGAUGAAAGUAAAAUAAUUUGAUUGGUAUUCACCAUGAUCUUACUAUCCGGACCUCAAUUUUUGUUCUCUAAGCUUUUUAAAUCAAUUUAUUUAGAAUAUAAUCCUAAAGCAAAAUCAGCUAUCCGAAUAGACUCCAAUUAUUUAGAAUUUUGACGCGAUUCGCAAUGUGUACAAAACAUACGAGCGCGCGUCAUCGCGACUUGUUCAAACUAAAAUUCGGGGGUGCAUUUCAUGUUACCCGAUUCUAAUUUCCAACAAGGUAAAUAAAGUGUGUCGUGAACCGCGGGUGCAUUUCAUGUAGAGUGGCUUAUGAUGUGUUUUACAUAACCUUGAGAUUUCCUGAAAUAGUAAAAGCAGUUUCAAAAGUUAAAAUACACAUAGGUUCAAAAGUAUUUUAAAAUCAAAUAAAUAGGCCGAUAAUAACAGUUGAGCGACCAUGCUAAAACCACGGAACUCGGGAAUGCCUGACACCUUCUCCCGGGUUAACAGAAUUCCUUACCCGGAUUUCUAUGUUCGCAGACCAUAAAUAAGAGUCAACUUCCCCGAUUCGGGAUUUUAAACCGGUGACUUGGGACACCACAAAUUAUCCCAAGUGGCGACUCUGAAUUUGAAUAAAUAAUCCCGUUUCGAUCAUUGUCACUUUAAGUUGAAAAAAACUCCCUUAUGCUCCCUUCCGGGAUAGUAAAAAAAUAGGUAUGACAUGGAGUUAGCACGCCGUAUGCAUCAGCAUCAUCAUGUAAUACUUUCUUCCUCCAAUACAUGUCGGACCCGUUUCCCGUGUGUAACUAUAACCUUUGAAAUUUUCUUGGCUGUCGUGUAUGUCACGCCGUUAAUUUCUUCUCCCCUGCUUAUAACAUUGACGGUCCUUUUUGGAGAAAUAGGUUUAAGGGGCUCCUGCUUGUUCUUCAUGCAUGCUUGUUUACCUUUUUCACUAAACAAUUCAGUAAGAUAUCUUUGUUUUAAUAAAUGGUCAACUUCACCUUGCAGCAAUCUACAAUCUGCCGUUUUUUGACCAUGAUCAUUAUGAAACUCGCACCAGAAAUUAGGAUUUCGUCUAUUUGGAUUUGAUCUAUUUCUUUUGGCCACCGCACCUUAUCACCCAUGCUUCUUAAUACUGCUACUAAUUCUGAUGUGCUGACAUUGAAAUUGUAACCGCCAAAUUUUGCCUUCGAGCUUCUGUCAUUAUCUCGCGUCUUUCGUGCAUUUCGCUCUUUCCCAAACCUUGACGAUGAGCCCGACUCUCUAUUUCUAGAUCUAUGAUCAUACCUUGGAUUGUCUUAAUUUGAACGUGAGUCUCUUCCUAUUGGACCCAUGUAAGGCUCGUAUCUAUUUUUACCGGACCUUUUUUCAGUUUCAGCAUGUCUCGAACUUACCCUCUCUUCUUUUUGAGACUGGGAGAUGGUAUCUUCUUCUAUCCUCAGCUUCGUGUUGUAUCUAUUGUAAACAUCAUUCCAAUUUGUCACUGGGAAUUCGCGUAGACUUUUCUUGAGUCGUCUCGUGGCUUUUGAACUUUUCUCAUUUAAAUUACUGGCAAAAGCCAUAGCUGCCUAGUUAUCAAGUGCGUGUGGUAACAUAAUCCUUUCACGCUGGAAUCUGUCCACGAAUUCUCUAAGCAGUUCUGAAUCUCCUUGCUUUAUUUUGAAUAUAUCUUCCAUUCUUUUUUUGAUUUUUUGAGCUCCCGAAUGUGCUUUGAUAAAUGAAUAUGCAAGCUCAGCAAAAGAAUGUAUAGAAUUUUCGGGCAAAAGAGAAUACCGUGUUAAAGCUCCCUUAGUGAGUGUUUCACUGAAUGUUUUGACCAACACUGAUUCAAUUUCUUGUUUGGUUAAAUUGUUUCCAUUCACGCCAGUUGUGAAUGCAAUCACGUGAUUUCGUGGAUCAGUUGUGUCAUCAUAUUUUGGAAUGUCGGGCAUCUUGAAUUUCUUCGGAAUCGGCAGAGGAGCAGCACUGGGCUUCCAAGGUUGUUGUGAAUAUUUAUCCAUAUCUAUUCCCUUGAUUACAGGCGGUACUCCCGGUAUUUGCUCUAUGCGAUCGCUUUGCUCCUUGAGCUGUUUCUGCAAGGUUAAUACUAAAUUUUGUAAAUCAGAAUUAACUAUGUUACCCAAUUCUCUAUCAUGAGACUCACUGGGAGUUCCACCACUGCCUGAAUUAACGAGUCUAGAACGUGGGUUUUCCAAAGUAUUACUAUUCGGAGUUGGUGUUGGAGGUGCAACCGGCAACUGACUGGUAAAAUCCUGGAGAGCGUUAUUUACCUGUUGAGCAAUUAAUUUCUUCAUAGCGUCAUCGAGUGCUUGUUCGCAACUCUGUCAUUUUAAUUUGCUUCAAAUCCGUCUGGAGUCCCCUCUCGUGAUUGUCGCUGAGAAUGGUGUGGCGAAGGAGGUGGAGUUCUGUCAUCCGCAUCAUUCACUUGAUGAUGUGGAUCUUGAGGUGGUAAAUUGUGUUGGUUAUUGUCGUUGACAUUCGACAUGGUCGUUUUUUAUGAAAGAAUUGAUUUGGAAAGCAGAUGAUUAUCACACACUAGAGGUCCCCGGUAACGAUACCAAUUUGUUUAACCAAAUAUAGGGAUUUCGAUCAUAUCUUAAUUUUAGAAAAACUUGGGUUACUGAUAAUCAAAUAUAAAUAGAAAAUAAUUGAUGUAAAUAAUAACUGAAUAGAAAGUAAAGUAAAUUAGUAUAUUUCGAUAGUAUUUCGUGUCCUUACAAAUGUUCAGCCCUCACCUCUUAUAGCUAUCUCUAAGUAAUACGUUUUGUUUCUCUUAUAAUAGAGUCUUUAUGGACAAUUAAUAGCAUUUAACGUAACGUUACUAUUGGUAAUCAUAACUGAUUCAAUACAGAUUCCAUAACGUUUUCCGUAAUUAAUGCCUAUUAAUUACCGAUAAUACGUAUCUAUACCCUUUUGCUAUUUAGGUUCAUCCUUUUGAUGUGACUUCUGAAUAUCAAUAGGUUUGAGUGCCUUUCCUUUUUGUCUUCCUUGAAUCUUUGUUCGUACCUGUUGAAGCUCGUGCCUCUUCAACUAUCCUUUGCCAACUAUCAUUCUUUUACCAGUUCACAUGUCAUGACAUGUUACCUAAUAAUUAAUUCUUUACAUGAACUUAAUUUUUCCCAAUACAUACCCACUUUUAAUAAAGGUUUUACUUGUACCCAUUUUUUAAACAACUUCAGACCUCUUUUUCCUCCUCCUCCACCUUCAUUUUCUUCUUCUCCUCCUUCUUCUCCUUCUUCUUCGGUGACAAUGAUUUUAUAUGGUGGUUGUGAACAUAUUUUAAUAUAGUUUAUGAUAUUUUACAAUGGUGAGCUAUUAUGACGCUUUAUUUUUUAUUAUUGCUUAAGAUUUCUUCUUCUUCUUUUUCUUAAUUGCAAUAUGGAUCCAUUGGAUUUAUUGUUGUUUUGACAAUUUGACAAUUGGGGUUUGUUCCUGAUAAUAUUUGGAGGUUAUAUUUCAAAUUUGAGCUUAUUUGGAGUAGAUUUAGGUAUUAAAUCGUAUAUUGGAUUGUUAUAAUUCGAAGAACAAAUUUCUGUUUCUGGGCAAUUUGCACUUCAGGCCUAUUUUCCCUUAAGUGCAUAAAAAUGUUGGUUGCACUUCAGACCUUUUGGCCUUAAGUGCAUCUUAAGUGUAAAUUUUCACUUCAGACUUAUUGGCCUUAAGUGAAUGAAAACGUUUGUUGUACUUCAGACUUUUUAGCCUUAAGUGUGCAUCUAAGAUGCAAAUUUUCACUUCAGACUUAUUGGCCUUAAGUAAAUGAAAACGUUUGUUGCACUUCAGAGUUUUUGGCCUUAAGUGCAUCUGAAGUGUAAUUUUUUAUUCAGACUUAUUGGUCUUAAGUGCAUCUGAAGUGCAAUUUUUCACAUCAGACUUAUUACCUUAAGUGCAUGAAACCAUUGGUUGCACUUCAAACCUAUCCGGUCUUAAGUGCAUUUGAAGUGCAAUUUUUUCACUUCUGACUAAUUUUUUUUAACUUCAGACCCGAUAAGUCUGAAGUUAAUCGUAAAGUUGGUACUCUUGCAAACUUUUUUGCAAAGUAGAUAUAGGUUUAAUUGUGACCCAAAACCGGACAUAAAUGCAAAAGUCCCAUUUCUUUAUUAGAGGGUUGACCCAGGACAAUGUAUUUUUCAGAUUAUGGGUGUGCUUGGGCCAUUACUAAUUUACUAUCAAUUGAGUAGUUGGGCAAUUUUUAGAUACAUAUAAUUUUUUGUACCAACUUUGCGCAUAUUAUGGACGUAAUAGUAUCCUGCACUCAAUGAUUUAAAAACCUCAAUCGAUGUAAAAAUAGUACGGGCUAACCAGUUUUCGGACUAAUCAUUUAAAAAUAGCCAGUGUUUGUUAAGUCAUUGAAAAAUAGCCACUAUUUUGCUGCAGCAGAAACUGGUCUAGCAUAAUAUACUGGAGUUCGGUGCAUCUGUGUAUGAACUUCCAGGAUAUUAUGCUAGAACUCCAACACGCGAAAAGUUCCAGCAUAAUAUAUUGGAGAUUCGAGCACUCGUGGAUGAACUUCCAGCUUAUUAUACUGGACCGAUAUACUUUGCUGGAACUCCAGUAUAUUAUGCUGGAAUUCUAGUAUACUUAUGCUGGAACUCCAUUAUAUUAUGCUGGAGUUCCAGUAUACUUAUGCAGGAACUCCAGUAUAAUAUGCUGGAGUUCCAGUAUACUUAUACUAGAACUCCGGUAUAAUAUACUGGAGUAUUUUUCUAAUUUUGAACAGUGUUUUUAUUCAGAUUUAUCUUUACAUGAAAAAUAACUAAAUUUCGAUUACUUUUAAAAGUGUGGCUACUUUUAAAUGAUCACUUGUAAAUCUGAUUAUUUUUUAAUUUCUCCCUCAAUCGACCUCUGCCUAGCCCAACUUUUAGUUAUGGACCGUCAGCAAUGUAGCCAAUGAUGCAAGUAAAUUAAUGAAGUUUUAGGCUUUAGAGUCUAUUCGGCCAAGUUUAUGGGAGGCCUAAAUAUAUUCUUUUUUUGUUUUGUUUAGAAAAGUACUUUCUUAAAAUUAAGGUAUUUGACCAAGACGAAUAAGUAUUUUUGAAUAGCAACGAAAGCUGUUUUCUGCUUUUAGAAAGAAGCUAUAAAUUUUAGCGUCUUUCAAAAGCAAAAGAAAAAUUAAAAAAUUAAUUUUUUCUAAGGCAGAAAUAUCCUUAUCCUAAGUUUAUAUUUCUCAAAUUAACACUCAUUAAUUAACAUUUUCUUUCCUCUUUUAUUUCUACCAUUCAUUUCUUCUUUUCUUUAUUUUUACCGUAUUAUAUUCUCCUUCUAGGGAUUUAUGAAAUAAUUUUAAUUUACAAUGAAUAUUGUAUUUUGAAAUUGUAAGAAAUAAUACACCGAAAAUUAUAUUAUUGAUCUACUUUAACUAUAAUACAAGUACCCUUAUUUAUAACAAUGCACAAUACCUACACUAUUCAUAUUCCACAUAGGACUAUGCUUAUUUACACAACUAACUAACUAACACUCCUCCUCAAGCCGGUGCAUACAAAUCAUAUGUACCGAGCUUGUUACAUAUAUAACUAAUACGAGGACCCGUGAGGUACUUGGUGAAGAUAUCUGCAAGCUGAUCAUUCGAUUUUACAAACUUUGUAACAAUAUCUCCUGAAAGUAUCUUUUUUCUAACGAAGUGACAAUCAAUCUCAAUGUAUUUAGUUCUCUCAUGGAACACCGAAUUUGAUGCAAUAUGAAGGGUAACUUGAUUGUCACACACAAGUUCCAUUUGGCGGAUUCCACCAAAUUUUAACUCCUUCAACAACUGUUUGAUCCAAACUAACUCGCAUGUUGCCAUAACCAUUGCUCGAUAUUCUGCUUCUACAUUGGACCGAGCAACUACAUUCUAUUUCUUGCUCCUCCAAAACACCAAAUGGCAUCCCACUAAAACACAAUAUCCAAAAGUAAAACGCCUAUCAGAAGGUGAUCCUACCCAAUCAGCAUCUGAUAUCUAACGAUCUGGAUAUUGCCUCGAUCCUCAAACAAUAAUUCUUUUCUGGAGCUGACGUUAUAUACCGAAGAAUGUGGACAAUUGCAUCCCAAUGACUAUCACAUGAAAAAUCUAUUAACCGACUUACAACACUCAUAGAAAGGAAAUAUCAGGUCUAGUCACUAUGAGAUAAUUUAAUUUACCAACCAGCCGCCUAUAUCUUGCAGGAUCACUAAGCGGCUCCCUCAGUCCUGGAAGAAGUUUUGAAUUCGGACCCAUUGGAGUAUCAACAAGUCUGCAUCUUGUCAUUCCUGUAUCCUCAAGAAUGUUUAAGGCAUACUUCUAUUGUGAG